GGGGCUAAACCAUGCACCGAAGCUGCGGCAGCGACGUUUAUGCGUUGUUGGGUAGGGGAGCGUUCUGUAAGCCUGCGAAGGUGGCCUGUGAGGGUUGCUGGAGGUAUCAGAAGUGCGAAUGCUGACAUAAGUAACGAUAAAGCGGGUGAAAAGCCCGCUCGCCGGAAGACCAAGGGUUCCUGUCCAACGUUAAUCGGGGCAGGGUGAGUCGACCCCUAAGGCGAGGCCGAAAGGCGUAGUCGAUGGGAAACGGGUUAAUAUUCCCGUACUUGGUGUUACUGCGAAGGGGGGACGGAGAAGGCUAUGUUGGCCGGGCGACGGUUGUCCCGGUUUAAGCGUGUAGGUGUGUGUUCCAGGUAAAUCCGGUUCACUUUAACACUGAGGCGUGAUGACGAGGCACUACGGUGCUGAAGCAACAAAUGCCCUGCUUCCAGGAAAAGCCUCUAAGCAUCAGGUAACACGAAAUCGUACCCCAAACCGACACAGGUGGUCAGGUAGAGAAUACCAAGGCGCUUGAGAGAACUCGGGUGAAGGAACUAGGCAAAAUGGUGCCGUAACUUCGGGAGAAGGCACGCUGACACGUAGGUGAAGUGAUUUACUCAUGGAGCUGAAGUCAGUCGAAGAUACCAGCUGGCUGCAACUGUUUAUUAAAAACACAGCACUGUGCAAACACGAAAGUGGACGUAUACGGUGUGACGCCUGCCCGGUGCCGGAAGGUUAAUUGAUGGGGUCAGCGCAAGCGAAGCUCCUGAUCGAAGCCCCGGUAAACGGCGGCCGUAACUAUAACGGUCCUAAGGUAGCGAAAUUCCUUGUCGGGUAAGUUCCGACCUGCACGAAUGGCGUAAUGAUGGCCAGGCUGUCUCCACCCGAGACUCAGUGAAAUUGAACUCGCUGUGAAGAUGCAGUGUACCCGCGGCAAGACGGAAAGACCCCGUGAACCUUUACUAUAGCUUGACACUGAACAUUGAGCCUUGAUGUGUAGGAUAGGUGGGAGGCUUUGAAGUGUGGACGCCAGUCUGCAUGGAGCCGACCUUGAAAUACCACCCUUUAAUGUUUGAUGUUCUAACGUGGACCCGUUACCCGGGUUGCGGACAGUGUCUGGUGGGUAGUUUGACUGGGGCGGUCUCCUCCUAAAGAGUAACGGAGGAGCACGAAGGUUGGCUAAUCCUGGUCGGACAUCAGGAGGUUAGUGCAAUGGCAUAAGCCAGCUUGACUGCGAGCGUGACGGCGCGAGCAGGUGCGAAAGCAGGUCAUAGUGAUCCGGUGGUUCUGAAUGGAAGGGCCAUCGCUCAACGGAUAAAAGGUACUCCGGGGAUAACAGGCUGAUACCGCCCAAGAGUUCAUAUCGACGGCGGUGUUUGGCACCUCGAUGUCGGCUCAUCACAUCCUGGGGCUGAAGUAGGUCCCAAGGGUAUGGCUGUUCGCCAUUUAAAGUGGUACGCGAGCUGGGUUUAGAACGUCGUGAGACAGUUCGGUCCCUAUCUGCCGUGGGCGCUGGAGAACUGAGGGGGGCUGCUCCUAGUACGAGAGGACCGGAGUGGACGCAUCACUGGUGUUCGGGUUGUCAUGCCAAUGGCACUGCCCGGUAGCUAAAUGCGGAAGAGAUAAGUGCUGAAAGCAUCUAAGCACGAAACUUGCCCCGAGAUGAGUUCUCCCUGAGACUUAGAGUCUCCUGAAGGAACGUUGAAGACGACGACGUUGAUAGGCCGGGUGUGUAAGCGCAGCGAUGCGUUGAGCUAACCGGUACUAAUGCU
rnacentral:rRNA from 1 species